GCCGGGUGUGGUGGUGCACACCUGUAAUCCCAGCUACUCAGGAGGCUGAGGCAGGAGAAUUGCUUGAACCUGGGAGAUGGAGAUUGCAGUGAGCUGAGAUCGUACCACUGCACUGCAGUCUGGGUGACAAAGCAAGACUCUGUCUCAA
rnacentral:SRP_RNA from 2 species